CGGCUAANUACGUGCCAGCAGCCGCGGUAAUACGUAGGUCCCGAGCGUUNUCCGGAUUUAUUGGGCGUAAAGGGAGCGCAGGCGGUCAGGAAAGUCUGGAGUAAAAGGCUAUGGCUCAACCAUAGUGUGCUNUGGAAACUGUCUGACUUGAGUGCAGAAGGGGAGAGUGGAAUUCCAUGUGUAGCGGUGAAAUGCGUAGAUAUAUGGAGGAACACCAGUGGCGAAAGCGGCUCUCUGGUCUGUCACUGACGCUGAGGCUCGAAAGCGUGGGUAGCGAACAGGAUUAGAUACCCUGGUAGUCCACGCCGUAAACGAUGAGUGCUAGGUGUUAGGCCCUUUCCGGGGCUUAGUGCCGGAGCUAACGCAAUAAGCACUCCGCCUGGGGAGUACGACCGCAAGGUUGAAACUCAAAGGAAUUGACGGGGGCCCGCACAAGCGGUGGAGCAUGUGGUUUAAUUCGAAGCAACGCGAAGAACCUUACCAGGUCUUGACAUCCCGAUGCUAUUCUUAGAGAUAGGAAGUUACUUCGGUACAUCGGAGACAGGUGGUGCAUGGUUGUCGUCAGCUCGUGUCGUGAGAUGUUGGGUUAAGUCCCGCAACGAGCGCAACCCUUAUUGUUAGUUGCCAUCAUUAAGUUGGGCACUCUAGCGAGACUGCCGGUAAUAAACCGGAGGAAGGUGGGGAUGACGUCAAAUCAUCAUGCCCCUUAUGACCUGGGCUACACACGUGCUACAAUGGUCGGUACAACGAGUUGCGAGCCGGUGACGGCAAGCUAAUCUCUGAAAGCCGAUCUCAGUUCGGAUUGGAGGCUGCAACUCGCCUCCAUGAAGUCGGAAUCGCUAGUAAUCGCGGAUCAGCACGCCGCGGUGAAUACGUUCCCGGGCCUUGUACACACCGCCCGUCACACCACGAGAGUUUGUAACACCCGAAGUCGGUGAGGUANCCUUUUAGGG
rnacentral:rRNA from 1 species